UACAGAGGUCUCAAGCGUUGUUCGGAUUCAUUGGGCGUAAAGGGUGUGUAGGUGGCGCGCUAAGUCGGGUGUGAAAUCCCGGGGCUCAACCCCGGAACUGCACUGGAUACUGCCAUGCUUGAGUACUGGAGAGGAGAUUGGAAUUUACGGUGUAGCAGUGAAAUGCGUAGAUAUCGUAAGGAAGACCAGUGGCGAAGGCGAAUCUCUGGACAGUUACUGACACUGAGGCACGAAGGCCAGGGGAGCAAACGGG
rnacentral:rRNA from 1 species